UUCCUUUUAUUUCACAAUCAUCACUGUUACUCGGUUUAGAAAGUCAUGCCACGUCAGUAGCGGUGUAAACACGGGUUCUGUUAAAACUGUCAGCACACACAGCGGUCCACUUCCCACACAGCUCAUCGAUGGAAAAGUGGCCAGUUAUCAUUCGGGCAAUUGACCAAUUCACGCUAUUAGGCCAAAAGUUUGUGGACACCAGAGAACCAGGCCCGUGUGUGUGAUGAUGUGCUCUUGUGGCUGAAGGAGUAUUAUAACAGCGAAGGUGGAACACCUCAAUAUUAAUGAACCUGGUUUUGGAAUGGGAUUUCAGAACUCAGGUGUCCACAUACUUUCGGCCAUAUAGUGCAUCAAAUCUGAUUGGUCAGAAGGUGUUGAUUAAUUUUCUAUAACAGCAGCUCUGACAGUAGUGCAGCUGCACAUCACAGGUUUAUAUUAAUUCACACACACACACACACACACACACACACACACACACACACACACACACACACACACACACACACACACACAAACCCCCCUAUUCAAGAAAUCAAGAACUCACACCACUGUACAUGUCUGACAGGACGGGAACACUAGCUAAAAUCUUCAGACCUGUGUCUAAACACAAUCCAUAAACACCUUUAUCCUAAUUUAACGACUGAGUCAAUAUCCCAGAAUGCAUUACUUGUAGAAACCUAGAAAUAUUUUGUGGGGGGAAGAAACGUCGAUGAAGCGCAAAGACAGCCACGAGGCUAUGGUCACGACAGUUUCACACCUGUCCACCUGCUCAUUCACACAAUUACGCAAUCAGCCAAUCACGUGGCCGCAGCACAAUACAUAAAAUCACACAAAUACUCGACACGAGCUUCAGUUAAUGUUAUAUCAAACAUCAGAGCGGGGAAAUGUGAUCUCGGCGAUGCUGAGACUUUAUAUUCCUCUGUCCAGUUUCAGUGAACCCCUGCCCACUCAGUUAUAUAUAAACCUCAGCUCAUCUGGCACCAACGACCACGCCACUGAGCCACUGCCAUCACAUCUUCCCCGUUCUGAUGUGAGAUGUGAACAUUAACUGAAGCGAACGAGCAGGUGUUCCUGAUAAAAUGACUAACGAGAGUAUACGUUAAAACAAAGAAAAGAGGUUAUUUAUAUGGCGGUAUAAAAGUGUAACACUGUCAUUAGGAAGAAAGGAAGCCAUUAUAACAGGAGAUCAGGUCACUAAACAGUCAAGAACAGAUAACGCUGUUUGACCCUAUAUGGUUCGUAGAGUGUGCAAGUUGCGAAAGCCACAUGGUGAUGCAGAGGUUUGUCACGAACAUCCUGUUUCUCUGCACUUUCGGGUGAGUUUCUCUCAUUUGCAGUGAAUUCAGGAGAGCACACUGAGUAAAUAAUACACAACACCUGAUAUCACCAACACCAAACGUUUACUAAACAAAUCCAAGCAGAAAGGACUCUGUUCUGGAGUUUAAAACGGUUAACAGCGGUAAUCUGUUCAUCACCUACAGCACUGAAAAAGAGGAAGAGGCAGCCAGAUGUUUCAGAUAAUAUUUCUCAACAGCCAGUGAUGACAACACGUUUAUAGAUAAUGAGGAAUUACACCAGCACUCAGAGUGAUGUUUCUACGCAGUUCAGUUACCACUGGUGCAGGUUCCAAGCAGGAUCGUGGAGGUCAAUCAGGGUUCCUGAGUCAGGACAGGACCAGACUCUCAAACUGGAACUGGCUCACAGAAUAUCAUAAAUGUCUCCAAAACGCCGGAAGGCAGAGUUAACACGGGCAAACCCAUACCGUACAUCACGCCACGGUCAGAACCAGAAAUACAAGAAUAGGGUGAGGAAACAAAACCACAGAGAAAACACUGCUGGGAAAACAUGCAAUUGUGUGAAAAUACAAAGACAAAGAGUCUAAUAGGCUGGAGCAUCAGGAUAACCAGGAAGAGAGAUGAGGAACACUGAGGGGAGGGAACAGGGCCUACUACUGACUCAGAGGAAGGAUCAGGGCCUACUACUGACUCAGAGAAAGGAUCAGGGCCUACUACUGACUCAGAGGAAGGAUCAGGGUCUGUGACUGACUCAGAGGAAGGAUCAGUGGGUCUGUGACUGACUCAGAGGAAGGAUCAGGGUCUGUGACUGACUCAGAGGAAGGAUCAGGGUCUGUGGCAUAAAGCUAUUAGAAUUACCGAUGGAACAGUGUGAAACAUUUACAGUGGUUCUAUAUGUCCUUAAAUGUAAGACACGACCAAAACAAAAUUCUCAUUUUAUAAGAAGUCUUUCACUCUUUUC
ensembl:lncRNA